rnacentral:rRNA from 1 species
UGGGGAAUUUUGGACAAUGGGCGAAAGCCUGAUCCAGCAAUGCCGCGUGUGUGAAGAAGGCCUUCGGGUUGUAAAGCACUUUUGUCCGGAAAGAAAUCCUUGGCUCUAAUACAGUCGGGGGAUGACGGUACCGGAAGAAUAAGCACCGGCUAACUACGUGCCAGCAGCCGCGGUAAUACGUAGGGUGCAAGCGUUAAUCGGAAUUACUGGGCGUAAAGCGUGCGCAGGCGGUUUGCUAAGACCGAUGUGAAAUCCCCGGGCUCAACCUGGGAACUGCAUUGGUGACUGGCAGGCUAGAGUAUGGCAGAGGGGGGUAGGAUUCCACGUGUAGCAGUGAAAUGCGUAGAGAUGUGGAGGAAUACCGAUGGCGAAGGCAGCCCCCUGGGCAAUACUGACGCUCAUGCACGAAAGCGUGGGGAGCAAACAGGAUUAGAUACCCUGGUAGUCCACGCCCUAAAACGAUGUCAACUAGUUGUUGGGGAUUCAUUUCCUUAGUAACGUAGCUAACGCGUGAAGUUGACCGCCUGGGGAGUACGGUCGCAAGAUUAAAACUC